UUAAGCGACUAAGCGUACACGGUGGAUGCCCUGGCAGUCAGAGGCGAUGAAGGACGUGCUAAUCUGCGAUAAGCGUCGGUGAGGUGAUAUGAACCGUUAUAACCGGCGAUUUCCGAAUGGGGAAACCCAGUGUGUUUCGACACACUAUCAUUAACUGAAUCCAUAGGUUAAUGAGGCGAACCGGGGGAACUGAAACAUCUAAGUACCCCGAGGAAAAGAAAUCAACCGAGAUUCCCCCAGUAGCGGCGAGCGAACGGGGAGGAGCCCAGAGCCUGAAUCAGUGUGUGUGUUAGUGGAAGCGUCUGGAAAGGCGUGCGAUACAGGGUGACAGCCCCGUACACAAAAAUGCACAUAUUGUGAGCUCGAUGAGUAGGGCGGGACACGUGGUAUCCUGUCUGAAUAUGGGGGGUCCAUCCUCCAAGGCUAAAUACUCCUGACUGACCGAUAGUGAACCAGUACCGUGAGGGAAAGGCGAAAAGAACCCCGGCGAGGGGAGUGAAAAAGAACCUGAAACCGUGUACGUACAAGCAGUGGGAGCCUCUUAAUGGGGUGACUGCGUACCUUUUGUAUAAUGGGUCAGCGACUUAUAUUCUGUAGCAAGGUUAACCGAAUAGGGGAGCCGAAGGGAAACCGAGUCUUAACUGGGCGUUAAGUUGCAGGGUAUAGACCCGAAACCCGGUGAUCUAGCCAUGGGCAGGUUGAAGGUUGGGUAACACUAACUGGAGGACCGAACCGACUAAUGUUGAAAAAUUAGCGGAUGACUUGUGGCUGGGGGUGAAAGGCCAAUCAAACCGGGAGAUAGCUGGUUCUCCCCGAAAGCUAUUUAGGUAGCGCCUCGUGAAUUCAUCUCCGGGGGUAGAGCACUGUUUCGGCAAGGGGGUCAUCCCGACCUACCAACCCGAUGCAAACUGCGAAUACCGGAGAAUGUUAUCACGGGAGACACACGGCGGGUGCUAACGUCCGUCGUGAAGAGGGAAACAACCCAGACCGCCAGCUAAGGUCCCAAAGUCAUGGUUAAGUGGGAAACGAUGUGGGAAGGCCCAGACAGCCAGGAUGUUGGCUUAGAAGCAGCCAUCAUUUAAAGAAAGCGUAAUAGCUCACUGGUCGAGUCGGCCUGCGCGGAAGAUGUAACGGGGCUAAACCAUGCACCGAAGCUGCGGCAGCGACACUAUGUGUUGUUGGGUAGGGGAGCGUUCUGUAAGCCUGUGAAGGUGGCCUGUGAGGGUUGCUGGAGGUAUCAGAAGUGCGAAUGCUGACAUAAGUAACGAUAAAGCGGGUGAAAAGCCCGCUCGCCGGAAGACCAAGGGUUCCUGUCCAACGUUAAUCGGGGCAGGGUGAGUCGACCCCUAAGGCGAGGCCGAAAGGCGUAGUCGAUGGGAAACAGGUUAAUAUUCCUGUACUUGGUGUUACUGCGAAGGGGGGGACGGAGAAGGCUAUGUUGGCCGGGCGACGGUUGUCCCGGUUUAAGCGUGUAGGCUGGUUUUCCAGGCAAAUCCGGAAAACCAAGGCUGAGGCGUGAUGACGAGGCACUACGGUGCUGAAGCGACAAAUGCCCUGCUUCCAGGAAAAGCCUCUAAGCAUCAGGUAACAUCAAAUCGUACCCCAAACCGACACAGGUGGUCAGGUAGAGAAUACCAAGGCGCUUGAGAGAACUCGGGUGAAGGAACUAGGCAAAAUGGUGCCGUAACUUCGGGAGAAGGCACGCUGAUAUGUAGGUGAAGCGACUUGCUCGUGGAGCUGAAAUCAGUCGAAGAUACCAGCUGGCUGCAACUGUUUAUUAAAAACACAGCACUGUGCAAACACGAAAGUGGACGUAUACGGUGUGACGCCUGCCCGGUGCCGGAAGGUUAAUUGAUGGGGUUAGCGGCAACGCGAAGCUCUUGAUCGAAGCCCCGGUAAACGGCGGCCGUAACUAUAACGGUCCUAAGGUAGCGAAAUUCCUUGUCGGGUAAGUUCCGACCUGCACGAAUGGCGUAAUGAUGGCCAGGCUGUCUCCACCCGAGACUCAGUGAAAUUGAACUCGCUGUGAAGAUGCAGUGUACCCGCGGCAAGACGGAAAGACCCCGUGAACCUUUACUAUAGCUUGACACUGAACAUUGAGCCUUGAUGUGUAGGAUAGGUGGGAGGCUUUGAAGUGUGGACGCCAGUCUGCAUGGAGCCGACCUUGAAAUACCACCCUUUAAUGUUUGAUGUUCUAACGUUGGCCCGUAAUCCGGGUUGCGGACAGUGUCUGGUGGGUAGUUUGACUGGGGCGGUCUCCUCCUAAAGAGUAACGGAGGAGCACGAAGGUUGGCUAAUCCUGGUCGGACAUCAGGAGGUUAGUGCAAUGGCAUAAGCCAGCUUGACUGCGAGCGUGACGGCGCGAGCAGGUGCGAAAGCAGGUCAUAGUGAUCCGGUGGUUCUGAAUGGAAGGGCCAUCGCUCAACGGAUAAAAGGUACUCCGGGGAUAACAGGCUGAUACCGCCCAAGAGUUCAUAUCGACGGCGGUGUUUGGCACCUCGAUGUCGGCUCAUCACAUCCUGGGGCUGAAGUAGGUCCCAAGGGUAUGGCUGUUCGCCAUUUAAAGUGGUACGCGAGCUGGGUUUAGAACGUCGUGAGACAGUUCGGUCCCUAUCUGCCGUGGGCGCUGGAGAACUGAGGGGGGCUGCUCCUAGUACGAGAGGACCGGAGUGGACGCAUCACUGGUGUUCGGGUUGUCAUGCCAAUGGCACUGCCCGGUAGCUAAAUGCGGAAGAGAUAAGUGCUGAAAGCAUCUAAGCACGAAACUUGCCCCGAGAUGAGUUCUCCCUGACUCCUUGAGAGUCCUGAAGGAACGUUGAAGACGACGACGUUGAUAGGCCGGGUGUGUAAGCGCAGCGAUGCGUUGAGCUAACCGGUACUAAUGAACCGUGAGGCUUAACCUU
rnacentral:rRNA from 1 species